UAGACCUCAGUUUCAGACUCGACAUAGGUGCACUGGGUCUCUUGUGAUCCUUAUGUGGUGCUUUCCUGUGAUCCCUAGUAACAUAUGAAUGCGAUAUGGUUAACAUGUCUAGAUUUUAUGGAGCAUCGAAAUAACUAUGAAUUGAACAACAACCAAUCAAGUGUACGCAUACUGCACGCAUACGGUUCAACUUACUUGCAAUAACUACAAAGAUUGCAUAACACAACUACGUAAUACCAUAAACAAAGCCAUUGUGUGCAAGAAUUGUUAGCCCCAUGAUUUUAGAUUUUGAUGAUAACAAACACGUCCUAAUUGGGAUUAAAUAAGUCUAUUAGGCUUAAUUGGAAUAAUAUGUUUUUAUCGUACUAAUUCUGCCAUUACUUAUUUUUAUAGGGGCUUAUGUAGCAAUUUCUUUGAAAACAAUAUGUGAGAGAUGCUGAGAAUUAUUUUCCUGACCUAGUCUUCUCUGGUCUUUCUACGAUAUAAACAAGAAGAAAGAGGCGAUGCAGAAACAGGGGUUUCGGGUCUAUCAAAGGCAAAAAUUGAGGGAUUCUCUUCCUCAAAAUUGCUAUCAAGAGAAUUGAAAAAGGAAAGAGAUUAAGGAAAAUCUCUUCCUACUGACUAACGGCUAGAAUGGGUUCGAAAAGGAAAGAGGAAAUCUUUUGUUGGAAAUAUAGAGAUUGAAGGAGGAAGCAAAUAAGUAAGGACUGAUUUUGUGCAACGGCUAAGAGGAAAAACUUCAACUUCAACGUUCAUUUUUGGGGAUUCAAGAAUAUAUAGAAGAGAAGUACAAGUGCAGAAACAACACACAACUUUGGAAGCAAUCUGUUGUGAGGUAUCUCUUGAAAUUUCCCAGUCAACUUUGUUCUUCAUCUUGAUUUUUCUACACUAGGUUGAGUGUUAUCUUUGAGCCUUAUUGUAAAAGGGAUUUCACACCCUUGUGAGAUUGUAACUGUUUUUGUGAGUGGUUUUUGGGUAGAAAAAUCAUUUGGGUUUUAGGUGUGACUAGUACUGGAGUUUUAGCUAGUUGGAGAGGAUUCGAAGUAAUGGCUCGUUGUAAGGUUCUCUAGCACCCACGAAACUAGAGGUUUGUAACAACUAUUGGAGAUAGUGUAGCAAUUCCCGAGUAGGAUACUUGGGGAGUGGAGUAGGUGUGAAGUUGUGGAACAAACCACUAUAAAAUCCUCAUGUUUGAUUUCUCUUUCCCUUACUCCUGUACUUUUUGUUUUGCAUAUCUAUAUUGCUUGAAUAAACUGAAAAAUCUGUGAAAUCAGACUUGGGAUAAA